AUUGAACGCUGGCGGCAGGCCUAACACAUGCAAGUCGAGCGGAUGAAGGGAGCUUGCUCCUGGAUUCAGCGGCGGACGGGUGAGUAAUGCCUAGGGAUCUGCCUGGUAGUGGGGGAUAACGUCCGGAAACGGGCGCUAAUACCGCAUACGUCCUGAGGGAGAAAGUGGGGGAUCUUCGGACCUCACGCUAUCAGAUGAGCCUAGGUCGGAUUAGCUAGUUGGUGGGGUAAAGGCCUACCAAGGCGACGAUCCGUAACUGGUCUGAGAGGAUGAUCAGUCACACUGGAACUGAGACACGGUCCAGACUCCUACGGGAGGCAGCAGUGGGGAAUAUUGGACAAAGGGCGAAAGCCUGAUCCAGCCAUGCCGCGUGUUUGAAGAAGGUCUUCGGAUUGUAAAGCACUUUAAGUUGGGAGGAAGGGCAGUAAGUUAAUACCUUGCUGUUUUGACGUUACCAACAGAAUAAGCACCGGCUAACUUCGUG
rnacentral:rRNA from 1 species